CUCCGAGUCAGGCCCUCUGGCGGCGGCUUCAGCAUUUUCGCAGACAUCUUGGUGUGAGUGGAGUGCUGUGUGGCUGCCCGUCUCCUGCCGACGCUCAAGAGUAGCUUCUUCUUUAUGAUGGAGGAAGGAUAGAUAUCAGUACACGUGCUUCGAAUCAACGAGGACCUUGCUUCUCCAAGACUAUACAGGCAAACUCACGGAUGAAGAUGUUGCAAGGUGAACUCGUGAACUAGUUGGUGCUGCUUCAGUGGCAGCUGGCCAGAACGUUGAUCACCUGACGUGCAUGCGCUACACAGAAGGACAGACUCCUGGUGUCGAUGGGGAUCUGUUGUUUGCGCGGCACGUGAUCGAGGAGCUCCAGACGCCAGCAGGACACGAACCUGGUCUCCAUGGUGCAGGAGCAGGGACCC